GGCGAGUGAAGAGGAAAGAGCUCAAAGUUGGAACCUGUCUGGCUUAGCUAGACCGGAUUGUAAACUGUAGAAACAUUUUCCUGACACGCUGGGCAAAAAAGUCUUUUGGAACAAGGCAUCAUAGAGGGUGGGAAUCCCGUCUUUGGCCCAAGUUAGUUGUCUAUUGUGAUAUGUUUUCAAAGAGUCAGGUUGUUUGGGAAUGCAGCCUAAAUUGGGUGGUAAAUCUCACCUAAAGCUAAAUACCGGCCAGAGACCGAUAGCGCACAAGUAGAGUGAUCGAAAGAUGAAAAGCACUUUGAAAAGAGGGUUAAAUAGUACGUGAAAUUGCUGAAAGGGAAGCGCUUAUGACCAGACUUGGGCUCGGUGAAUCAUCCGGCGUUCUCGCCGGUGCACUUUGCCGUCCCAGGCCAGCAUCAGUUCGCGCCGGGGGAUAAAGGUUUCGGGAACGUAGCUCCCUCGGGAGUGUUAUAGCCCGUUGCGUAAUACCCUGGCGUGGACUGAGGUCCGCGCUCUGCAA
rnacentral:rRNA from 1 species